UACGGAAGGCAGCAGUGGGGAAUAUUGCACAAUGGGCGCAAGCCUGAUGCAGCCAUGCCGCGUGUAUGAAGAAGGCCUUCGGGUUGUAAAGUACUUUCAGUCGUGAGGAAGGUGUUAAGGUUAAUAACCUUAGCAAUUGACGUUAGCGACAGAAGAAGCACCGGCUAACUCCGUGCCAGCAGCCGCGGUAAUACGGAGGGUGCGAGCGUUAAUCGGAAUUACUGGGCGUAAAGGGCACGCAGGCGGUUAAUUAAGUUGGAUGUGAAAUCCCCGGGCUUAACCUGGGAAUGGCAUUCAAGACUGGUUAGCUAGAGUCUUGUAGAGGGGGUAGAAUUCCGAUGUGUAGCGGUGAAAUGCGUAGAGAUGUGGAGGAAUACCGGUGGCGAAGGCGGCCCCUGGACAAAGACUGACGCUCGAUGUGCGAAAGCGUGGGGAGCAAACG
rnacentral:rRNA from 1 species